rnacentral:lncRNA from 1 species
GUUUCUCUGUGUAGACUUGGCUGUCCUGGAAUUCGCUCUGUAGACCAAGUUGUCCUGGAACUCACAGAGAUCCUCCUGUCUCUGCCUCCAGAGUGCUGGGAUUAAAGGCAUAUGUCACCACCUCCCAGCUUCCCUGUGACAAUUUCUUGAGCCUUGGAGACUAACUCUGGCAUCCCUUUCUGCUCACUGAGAAGUAAUAAGCCCAUUCCAGGCACCACACCUUGUGAUGUGAAGCGUGCUCUUCCACAGUGGCAUGUGGAAACGACGGAUUCCUGUUCCAGGCCUGAUGGAUUCCAACGGAGAACAGUGUCUAGCGCCACCGCUGCCCCUCCUCCUGCUCCUAGAAUUCCUGGCCUGUCCACAGCUGCGGCCCCAAGGAGGACUCAAGGUCCAAGGGCGCCUACCAGAGCAGGGUGACACAAGGCUUCUAAACAGCCGACUUCGGCGGCGCAAGGAACAAAGGCACAGCGAUUCCAGCUGCCUGUGAGCCGCCAGCGAAGGGGAACUGUCAAGCUGCAGGUUCCUUCACAGUCGCUUGUUUUGUUUCUUGAGAUUGCCAAGGGGGCCCUGGUGCUCAACAGUAGUCCAGACUGGCAUCUCACUCCUCCUGCCUUGGCCUCCCAAGUGCUAGAAUUACAGGUAUGAGCC